rnacentral:lncRNA from 1 species
CAUUUCUUGGGCCGCUCCCGUGGCAUAUGGAGGUUCCCAGGCUAGGGGUCGAAUCGGAGCUGUAGCCACUGGCCUACGCCAGAGCCACAGCAACGCAGGAUCCGAGCCGCGUCUGCAACCUACAUCACAGCCACAGCAAUGCCAGAUCCUUAACCCACUGAGCAAGGCCAGGGAUCAAACCUGCAACCUCAAGGUUCCUAGUCAGAUUCGUUAACCACUGCUCCACGACGGGAACUCCAUGUAGAACCAUUUUUAAAGAAAUUUUCCAAUAUUGACUCAUUUCUAUCCUGAGCUAUAUUCCACUAGAAAUGACUAGGAACUUUAUCAUAGUGCAACAGUAACACACUCAAUUAGGGGUUUCUAAGUCAAUUCCAGAUUUCCUAGGCCCAUUCUAUUCUCCCCCCUGUGUGGUAAGUAGAAUUCUAAGAUAGAUCCAGGGUUCCUGCCCCCUAGAUUUCAUAUGUUUCCCAGCUAUUCAAUCAGUCACUAAUCUAGGUACUGCUGUGAACAAAUUUUGAAGAUAUACUUAAGGUCCCAAAUUAGUUGACUUUAAGUAAAGAAGAUUAUCUUGGUGAGUCUGGGAUACUCUUUCUGGGAUUGUGAGAGCACAGAGGACAAUUUCUUUUUUCCCCAAUAAAGCUCCAAGACUUUUUCCCACUUUGUAGAGAAAUCCUAUGUCCAGAUGAUGGUUUAACAAAAUAACUCAGGAUUUGUAGAACAAAAAAUACUGGACUAUUAGGGUGACUUACUGGAAGUUUGUUUUAAAUUUCAGCCAUUAGUGACACAUUGUGUAAAACUAACUUCCCCAUCUUUAUAAAGGACAUUUAUUAAAUUCCAGCCUGCACUAUAAAUCAGCAGGAUUUUAAACUAUAUUUAGGUUAAAGAUAUAAAAUUCAUCUGUCAUCUAGGUUAAAGACAUUGGUCAGUGAGAGAAUGAUUUAGGUUUUGACUUCUUAAAAGGUGUCUUUAAUGAACUAGUUUAAUGGAUCCCACUGAUGAAAUACUCAUUUUAUACUUUUAAUUUGAAAACUUGUUUUAUAUUAAUGAAAUUUUCCAUAAAGGUAAGUAAUACGGUGUAGAUUGUGUUGAUAGCUCUGUGUGAAACAGAUAAUGUUGUUUUAAAAUAUUACAGACUUAGUGAUAGCUCAGGGUUAAAUGCUUUUGUGUAAGCACUGUACACAAAAUAAAACUGACUGGGGGCAAAUAAUAUACUUUUCCAAUUAAAAAUAUGAUUUCUAUAAAUGGUAAGGGAUGAUACUUGUGAAUAGCAAGCUUUAGUGAUUUCGUUUUGUUCAAAUUUGGGAUACUCUAUUAAUUGGUGGAUACACAAGAUUAAACACAUCAGGUUUGCCAUUAGAAAUGAAACACUUGGCUUAGUGGACUGCUACCUGUCUUUUUUGAUAUUUUACAUUAUUUGGUAGUUACUUAGCAAACAUGAAGGUGUACAGGAAGUACAUGGGCCUAGAAAUUAGGAAACAAAUUGUAUUAGGAUUUUUACCAUUGCAAAUACAAGAAGCACAACUUGUACUGGUAAAACAAAUAGUAGAAGUACAAAGGGAGCUUCAGCUGCAGCCUGAGACAGUUUCUGAAGAUGUUAACAUUUAUUCUCUUUCCCUUUCAUUUCCCAUUCUAUCAUUUAGGUAAGCUUUGGUCUCAGAGCAACAUCAAUCCAAGGAUAGCAGUGGCUUUUUAUUAUUAUUAUUUUUUAUUAUUCAAUGAAUUUAUCUCAUCUGUAGUUAUAUUAUGAUCAUCACAAUCCAGUUUCACAGGAUUUCCAUCCCACAACCCAAGCGCAUGAUAGUUCCAACAACUAAAUACUCUCUACUUGCUGGACCUUGGUUCCUUUUUUUGUCUUUUGUCUUUUUAGGGCUUCACCUGCAGCAUAUGGAGGUUCUCAGGCUAGGGGUCCAAUCAGAGCUACAGCUGCCAGCCUACACCGCAGCCACAGCAAUGCUAAAUCCAAGCCGUGUCUGUGCUCAUGUAGCUCAUGGCAAUGCCGGAUCCUCAUCCCACUGAGUGAGGCAACCUCAUGGUUCCUAGUCGGAUUCAUUUCCACUGCACCACAAGGGGAACUCCUGGACCUUGGUUUCUUAAACUCUAAAAUAAGGUAUUAUGCUUUAUGACUUAUAUUCAUCCAUCUUUCCAUCUGUCCAUUCUUUAGUUAGCAGCCACUCUCUGCCAGCAUUAUGCUAGUUGUAAAGAAUCCAAUGAUUAAAUAUGGCACCUUCCUCUGAUGGUCUAGUGUGAGGAUAGACAUAAAUGAAAUAAUGACAGUGCACUUUUGGGGGGGCCAAACUUGUGGCAUAUGUAAGUUCCUGGGCCAGGGAUAGAAUCGAAGCCACAGCUGCAACCUACACCACAGUGACAUCAACACUGGAUCUUUAACACAUUGUGCCAGGCUAGGGAUCGAACCCUCUCUGCCAUAAAGACAACACUGGAUCCUUAACCCACUGUGCCACAGUAAGAAUUCCCUUGACAGUGCACUCUUAUAUAGAAUAGUGUGGAACACUAAUAAUGAUAGCCAUCAUUCAUUAAAAACCUAUUAUGUGCUAGGUUCUGAUCUAUGUGGUUUAUAUAUAUUAUGGUAUCUGGCUCUCAUAUUAUAUAAUAAAGCAAUUGCUGAGCCAAAGUACUUUAAAUAUGAGAAAAAUGGAGUUCCUGCCAUGGAACAGUGGGUUAAGAAUUCGACUGCAUUGGCUUGGGUUAGUGCAAAGGUACAGUUUUGAUCCCCUGCUAUGCACAGUGGGUUAAAAAAUCCAGUGUUGCUUCAGCUGUAGUAUAGGUCACAACCGCAGUUUAGAUUCCAUCCCUAGCCCAGGAACUUACAUAUAUUGCCAGUGUGGCUGUUUAAAAAAGAAAAAAAGAUGAGAAAACCAAGAUUAGAGGGAUUUGGUAAGUUAGUUUCUUAGGAUCAGAUGAUCAGUAGUGGAAGCUGGGAAUUUUGGAUUCAUGCUAGACUCUGGAUUCUCUGUUCUUUUCACUACACCACAAACAGAGAGGGAAAAACUAUCUUUACAGGUGCAGGAAACAACUAGGGAAAUCUUCACAGCAGAGGUGGCAUUACAGCUGACUAAAGAUGUAAGAACUUCACAAGUAGAAAGGAGAAAAUAUCAUGAAAAACUGUGAUUUAUUUAAGGAAGAGUGAGCAAGUGUUCCUGAAAAGUUAAGACAGGGACUGCUGGAGAAACAGAAACACAACUAAAAGAGGAGUUGUUAAAAAUGCAUGAAAGGCUUGAACAAAGGGCAUAUGGACUUUAUUAGGCAGUAGAGAUACUUCAUAUGGACAUACAGAACUUUGAAGACUCAUACAUACAUGUUGCUUUUUAGGGCUGCACCAUGGUACAUGCAAGUUCCCAGACCAGGGGUCAAAUCAGAGCUAGAGCUGCUGGCCUAUGCCACAGCCACAGCAGCAUGGGAUCCUAGCUGCAUCUGCAACCUAUACCACAGCUCAUAGAAAUGCUGGUUGUCUGACUCACUGAGCAAGGCCAGGGAUUGAUCCUAUAUCCUCACAGAUACUAGUCGGAUUCUUUGCUGCUGCACCACAAUGGGAACGCCCUGAAGAAUCGUAUUUUGAUUUAGAAAUAUUCAGAGUCCUUUUGUUACCAGUAUUUUAGUAUCACAUGCAAUUGUAUAUUUUUAUUGGGUAAUUGAAAACAGAGGAGCUUGAAAUAGUGUAUAGAAAAAUAUAGGAAUUAUUACUUAUAAUUUUGAGGUUUUGAAUUCUAUAAUGCCUGUCAUAUAAUAGUUAACAGACUUAUUUUUCCCUCAUUCCAUUUUUCUGCUUGGUUCAUAUUUCCUGAGCAACACAUGAAUGUAGAGUUUUAGAUUUUAUAUUUUUACCUGAUCUCCAUUUUAUGUAAAGAAAAACAGAUUUAGAAAGCUCUGACUUGUCUGUGGUUAAAUCUAUGACUGGGCUUUUCAGUUCAAUGCCUUUUUCAUACAAAGUACCUUGCCUUUGUCUUAAGCAAUAAAUAGGAUGAUUUAAAUGUCUUGGGGUGAUUUUCUCCACGGAAAAGAUGGUAUAAGCUAAGGAUGAUCAGAAUAUCUUUACUUAUUAUAAAGCUGCCAUUGCAUUUGACUUAUUUGUUUUUACCAUGUGGACUGUGAUAAAUUAAAUGGAAUGAGCAAAUCAGCUAACUGUAUAUUAAGAAUGCUGCUAAAUUAUUUUUGACUCAUUUUGUCUGGAAUUUAAUUAUGUUUUCAUGUUAAACCAUUUUUCACUUGAAAAUGCCCCCAGUACUUACAGUGAUGUCCCAUUCAUUAUAAUAAUUUCUUUGAGUGUAUCACAUAAAAAUUGUACUUGAGUUAUUAGAGCUUUUCUUGUGAUGACAUUAACCCUCUGGCCCAGUGCUGAAAAUGCCUUGACACUUUAAAUAGAUUAGAGAGUGUCUUGAUGUAUUUAAUAAAGGUUGGUCCUAUGGGAACCUAAAAUUGCAUGGAAGUAAAAACUUAUAUGCUUUAAAAAGGUAAAAGAAUAAUAUGAGUCUUGUAUUUUUUUUCUAAUUCUCAUGUCUAAGGUGUGGAUUCUAUGGGUUUUUAUUUUGAAUGAAAGUUUAGCUAAAUUUGGAUAACCGCACUUAUCAAACUUCCCUUUCUCGAUCCUUUCUUGACCUUCAUUUCUAGAUGCACUGGUGUUACACAUAUAUUGCAAGUCAUUCUGGGUAAACACAUUCAGAAUUUAAGUGCCAUAUUGGGCAUAUGGAAUGAUUCAAUCAUGCCUAUCUUGUAAAAUGGUCACUAUACCUUCUACUCACAUUGAAAGUUUUCCUUUCAAUAAUUCUCUCUUUCCUUGUAAACUUAAAGCCAAUUCUUACCUGGUUUGACUCCCAAUUUAAUUGCUUGGUAUGUUGCUUGGUUUUAUUAUGUUUACAAAUGUGGCCAUGAUUUACAUGGAAUUAUAUUUUCUCUGUUAUCCCCUGGUAUUCAGUGGACACAUUACUAUUCCUCACGUUUGGCUAAACGGGAAUUUUCAGUAUAUGGUUAUGUUGUUUCAUCUUUGCUUGUACAAAAGUUGAGACAAGGUGAUGCAUUAGAUCUAUACAGUCUUUAUUUAUAUUGUAUGAUAUCCUUGCUGACCCAAUCUCUAUUCAUUGCCCAGAUAGUCUAGGAAAAGAUCAUCUUUAAAGUUGCUAAGAGUAAGGCUGAAUAGGUGGAAAUCAUUUCUACCUAAGGGCAUAGUAAGUAACAUUGAGACAAGAAAAAUGAGUUGAAAAACAGUUAAAUUCCUGUUCUGGAAUUUGGUUGCUAACUGGGUCUGAUUACUGUACUUUCCAAGGUUAAUGUUCAUUUGAGGAUAAGUGCUCCUCUGAAGAGACUCAUGAAAUGGCAGCACGUAUUUUCAUUCCUGUUUGCAAAAGUUUCUCAGAUUCCAGAAAACUGCCUGAAAACUGCUUAGAAUGAAUUUGGCAAGCUGCUUUUUAUAUUUUAUUCUGGGAAAUAAUGGGAACAAUCCAUACCAGAAAAGAAGACGGUGACAUUAUAGAAUACACUUUACCUAAUGAAGUAGAAAUAUUUCAGUAAAUGUUCAAAACAGGUUUAUUGAGGUAUAACUGACACAUAAUAGAUUGCGCAUGUUUAAAGCAUACAAUUUUCAAGGCAUUAGACAUGUAGGUGCAUUUUCCUUUAUCAGAGAAAUGAUUUGCAAAUGUUUUCUCACAAUGAUGGUUUGUCUUUUCCUUUUCUUAACAGAAUGUUUCAUAGAGAACACAUUUUAAUUUUUAUAAAGUCCAAUGUAUCAGUUUUUUUCUUUUAUGGGUUGCAUUUUUUUGGUGCUGUGUUUAAGAAACAUUUGCUGAUCCCAAGGACACAAAGAUUUUUCUCCUAUACUUUCUUUUAAUGCUUUUGUUCAUGAUCAAUUAAGUUAAUUUUUGUAUCAGAUUAGAACUUGAUUUUUUGUAUGGUUAUUGAAAAGAUUGUUUUUUCCCUACUGAAUUGUCUUUGCAAUGUUGUUGGAAAUUAGUUUUUCAUAUAUUUCUGGAGUUUCCAUUCU